rnacentral:rRNA from 1 species
AGUGAACGCUGGCGGUAGGCCUAACACAUGCAAGUCGAACGGCAGCACAGUAAGAGCUUGCUCUUACGGGUGGCGAGUGGCGGACGGGUGAGGAAUACAUCGGAAUCUACUUUUUCGUGGGGGAUAACGCAGGGAAACUUACGCUAAUACCGCAUACGACCUACGGGUGAAAGCAGGGGAUCUUCGGACCUUGCGCGAUUGAAUGAGCCGAUGUCGGAUUAGCUAGUUGGCGGGGUAAAGGCCCACCAAGGCGACGAUCCGUAGCUGGUCUGAGAGGAUGAUCAGCCACACUGGAACUGAGACACGGUCCAGACUCCUACGGGAGGCAGCAGUGGGGAAUAUUGGACAAUGGGCGCAAGCCUGAUCCAGCCAUACCGCGUGGGUGAAGAAGGCCUUCGGGUUGUAAAGCCCUUUUGUUGGGAAAGAAAAGCAGCAGGUUGAUACCCCGCUGUUCUGACGGUACCCAAAGAAUAAGCACCGGCUAACUUCGUG